rnacentral:rRNA from 1 species
CAGUCGCCACGGGAACACGAACCGUGCGAACGUUAUUCGGAAUUACUGGGCUUAAAGCGCGUGUAGGCGGGCCGCCACGUCGGUUGCUGAAAUCCCCCGGCUCAACCGGGGAAGUGGCAUCGAUACGAGCGGCCUUGAGGGGGGUAGGGGGAUCUGGAACUUCCGGUGGAGCGGUGAAAUGCGUUGAGAUCGGAAGGAACGCCCGUGGCGAAAGCGAGGUCCUGGACCCUUUCUGACGCUGAGACGCGAAAGCCAGGGGAGCGAACGGGAUUAGAUACCCGAGUAGUCCCUGUCUCUUAUA